rnacentral:lncRNA from 1 species
UUUCCUUUUCCUCCUCCAUUCAAGGCCUUGAUUAGUGAUAUGUACAAUUCAAGGUGAUUUAUCCACGCAUUAACACUUGGAUUAUUUUGAUUAACCUCAUGUAAAUUUUAGUUCUCAAUGCGGAAUAACAAAUAACCUUUCAUUUUUUUAGCUAUAAUAUAUGUGUGUAUAUAGUGUGAUCAAGUCAUUUACAAAACAUAUUGGAUUAGUUUAGUAAUGGUUCAGGUUGAUGUUUAUUAAAUGGGUUAUGAGUUAUGACUCAAAUAAUGAGUUAUGACUCAAUCAGUGUAAAUAAGGUUUUAGAUAUUUUUAAUAUAUAAAUAGAUCUUAGUAUAUAAAAAGAGACAUAAUAACACUCACAUACACGUUGUUACUUGAGAACAAAUCGUUACCCUAGAAGAAGAGAAUUUAGCAGCCGAUCUAUUUAUCUGUGUCUGUGGAUAUCGGUUAAAGUCAGUGUUCAAGAAAGCGCUAGGCGCUAAGCGGGCGGUGACUCAGUGCCUAGCGCCUAGAACACCUAAUCGGGACCUAGGCGAUUUUUUAGGCGGUUUAGACGUUUAUAACAUAAUACAUUAUAUAUAUGAUAUUAUAUAUAAAAGUUAUAUAAAAUAUUAAUAUAAAACUAAAAAUUAUGAAAUUAUAAACAAAAACUAGAUAAAAUAUUUAUUUAUAUUUAUAUUAAACAAUAUAUGAAUAUUUAUAACUAUAUAUAUAUAUAUAAAUAAAACUGUAAUUGAAAUUGAAAAAAUACAUUAAACAAGAUCUAUGUAAUUUUAGGCGGUCAAGGCGGUUAUCUAGGCGUCGAAUGAGAGCCUAGCGCCUAGUCGGGGCCUAGGCGACCGCUUAGACCGCUUUUUAGAACAGAGGUUAAAGUACAAUACUAAUUGACACGUUAUACGACUUCAAAUCAAUCACUUCGUAAUUUUGCAUCGAAGAUGACAAAACACGGUAUCAUAAAAUUUGCAAUAAAAGUACCUAAAAAAUCUGUAAUAAAUCAGUACAGAUUCUAACAGUAAAAAGUAUAAAGACUCCUUAUAUUUUAUCUUAACUAAGGAAAAGAAAAUCACAUGAACAUCUUAUAUAUACAUAUAUUUUUUCCGUCUGGUUAAAAUAUAUUAGAAUGAAAGAAGUAUUCAUUACAAGACAUCUUGAUCAAGACUAAUGCCGGCAGAAAAAGUAGAAAUCUCCGGAAGCUAAAGCCCAAAGGAGGGAAACAUAAUGGAAACUAAGGAGAAACUUAAAAUCAAUGAAAAAGCUAAUGGAUCAAAGGACUAAAACUGAUCUGCUGAACCACACCUCACAAUACGAACUUUUCUAUAGAACUCAGAGAUGCCAAGGCUGAAACAGAGGACAAAAGACGGAGAGCCCUGAACUAGGAAGCUUCCGGGAGAAAAGGGCACCCAAACGACGGUAGAGACCUAUCUCGAAACAAGAACAGCAAAGGCAGAAACGAACGCAAGACCACAACACAAGCAGAACCAGAAACUACUCCAAAUAUAACAAUCAUCCCGAGAAAACAAAACACUGGAAGAGACAAGGGCUCAAGAGAAAACCUCGAGGAAACGAUUAGGUAUUUGCCAAAUAGGAUCAACAAGUCUUACACGCGGACACUCGUAAACCCGAUCUCAGCCACCUACAAACAAGAGAUCGGUUACCUCCUCGCAAGAGAAAACCAGAAGAUCGAACCCACUGCUUCGCCUUGGAGCCAAAUCUACACCUCCGAAAGAUGCAAUAAAUGACUAGUAGAUGGCUCAGCAACGAAUUACCAUCCGAAAGAACAAAACCACUAAUCGACCUUACCACACGCCAGUCACCACAGACUCGAGAGAAAGCAAAAAGCAGAAGAACUAAGAUCCAACAACAACUGACGAGCAAACCUGACAGAAGCAACCAAGAGGACUACCACGAAGGAGAUCUAGAACAGAUCUGAAACUCAAUGAAAACCCCCCAACAAAUCUGACGAGCAAGCCAGAAACGCCACCACUUCUCGGAUGAGACUACGCCACCAUCGAUUUAACUACACUCCAAUGUCAACAUAUACACAAAAGAAACACCUAAACAAAAGCAAAGGGUGCCAUCACAACACCUUCGACAACUAGGCCAGAAAUGACGAAGACGAGAGCCUCAAUCGAAGGCGUCGGCCACCAACUCGCUAAAGCCACCCUCGAAGAAAAACAAGACAGAAAGCAAAACUAAAAGGAAAGGGAGAGAAAAAAACGACGCCGGCGCUAUGUGAGCCGCCACGCGCCGGUCAAAGACCAGCCAAAGGUGAAGUCCAAGAAGGGGCGGCGAAUAGGUUAACGAGAGAGAACUCCAAAAAAGGGAGUCAUUAAACAUCUUAUAUAAAAGUUAAUUUUAUUGAUUACUAGAUUUUAACCCGCGGUACACCGCGAGAUGAUUUAAUUUUAAAGUUAGUAUAAAAAUAUUUUGUAAAUUGUAUCUCCUUAUAACAUAUUUAUUUAUAUUAUAGUUUAUAAUUUUUAUUAAGUAA